rnacentral:lncRNA from 1 species
UGGAGUUAUCUGCAUGAAGUAAUUACUUUUUUUCUUUUGCAACCGCACUUUCAUAUUCCAAGAUAAGUCUUUAGACUUUAAGGCACGUACUUACUAUACAGUUUGCAAAUUUUCUUGGAAGUUAAAAGUAAGAUGUCAGCAUUUUACUUCACUGACCAAAAAAGAAACUUUAAAAAACCAUUCUACCUAUGCAUCUUUAGACCCCUACAAAAUGCUUAAUUUCUUAAGAUGUCAAAACUGGCAGUGAAGUGUAUGCCGUUUGUGGAAGAUUAGGAACCUUUGUUCAGGGCAUUUGAAUAAUAGUUUUAUGAUAAUAUAAAAUUGUGGUGAAUAUAAGUCACAUUGAAUCAUUUACUCCUGAGCUGAAAACUAGGAAAGUUUCCUGCCAGAUAAAAUAAUAGGAAAGUGACUUGUGAACUGAUACUGAAUGUAAGGCAUUUUAUUAAAAAUCCCUCUGAUAACAAGAAUGAAAGAUGGAAUAUAAUGCCUGAGAAUAUAUUUUCUUUUUCAUCAGUAGUUCUUAAGUGUUUACUACACUGACAUUUGAAAUUAGAUAUGCAGGUGUGUCUUGUUUCACACAACAGAUGUCUUCCUAAAAAGAUAUAUAGAAAUUAUUGAAAAGGAACUCACAUUUUUCUAUGUGCUGGGGAAACUUUCUAUUAAAAGGCAAUCUGAUAGACUCUUCUGUCAGAUACACCCUUUAUCUAAAUAUAAGGAAAGUACUAAUAUGCAAAUAACUUCUAUUAAUGGCCUUGUUUCUAAUUAAUAGGUUAUAUAUUGGGUUUUGUUUCAAGAGUGCAUAAACAGCAUGGAACAUAAAUACAAAAAUUUCAGGUUUCAGAAUCUACAUGGACUUUAAGAAAAAUACACUUUUAUUAAAGAAAAGGGAGAAAUGAAGGGAGGGAGGAAAAAGAGAAAGGUGAUUUAAAACAUUCUACUUGAGUGUUAAGCUUGAAAAGCAGCCACAGGGACCACUCUCAGGUCUGAGAAUACCUUUGUCUAGGAUCUGUUGACCCUCAUUUUUUUUUUUUCACAUAACAUCUUUGUGUAGGGGUAUGUUUGUCCAGAAAAAACCUAAUACACAUUUUCAAUGGCUCAGGGUGAGUUUAGCCAAGAGGUGGUAUACACAGAAAUGUUUCCCAACUUUGUCCAAACUAACUUGAAAUUACAUCAAUUCCAAAUUAAACACACAGACACAAAAACAGCCAUGAUGAAAACAAGCCCCAUUCUAAGACUCUAGAAGCUUCCUCUCUGGAAUGGUCCAAAGCCAUAGAGAUUCUCCUGCUUUUCUGUUUGCCAUUUUCUUGACAGAGGCUAAUCCCUUUGUGAUAACAUCACACUGAUCAUCUAUAAUCAUCACUGUCAAUAAAAGGCCCUGAUACUCUCCAGCCCUGUCUUUAGAUCGCUGUGUUUUCAUGUAAUCCUUGUGCUGUCUCAAGUAGAUUGUAUAACUUUGAUGGUAAGAUUCAAAAUAUACCUAAAAUUUUCAGACCCCUAACCAUGCUCCAAGAACAUCACUGUGCUUUAAACAGUACAAUCAUUCAUGUCAUGCCCACAAACCCUAAAAACAGAUAUAUGUGUAUUUUUUUUUUCAUUUUUAGAGUAAUUGACUAAGGCACUGAAAGUUUAAAUAACUUGUCCAAACUUUCAUAGCUAAGUGGCAAAACAUGUUCCAUGCUGGAAACAUGAUGUAAAAUGAGUCUAUACUUGAAGGAAAGAGUACAUGAGUACAACAAAACCAAACCAAACACCAAAAUACUGACUACUUAGCAAUUAUCAAAAGAAGGAAUCAAAAGUAGCAUUUUAAAACUUCCAAGUGUCAUUGGAAGAGGAAAAAAAAGACAGUCUUACUGGCUUAUCCCAAAAAUGCUGGCCUCUCUUCCCAGUCCCAUUCCACACAUGCCCCAACCCAAGUGGCCAUCAGGAAAGGAACAGGAUUUACAAGCUUAAUCCCUCUUAUUCCUGGCUUCCUCCCCUAACCCACAGAUCUCCACAAGUCAUCCACAUCCCUGCCCUUUGGUAUGUGUUUUUCUGGUUAGCCCUUAGUUCAGUUCUGAACCAAACGCUCAUUUAAAGGAGACCAAGUUUCAUUUGCAUUUGUGUCCACUUUCCACAUUAGGUCACGGUAAAGUACAUCCCACACAGAAGGAUCUGGGUAUGUGUCAAAUACAUGGAUGGGGAAACAGAUCACACAGGGUUUAGUCUUUCUGUGCCGACUCAUUUCCUAGUGUGCUGUGCACUCAGGGAAAAUGCAGUCUUCAUGGGCAGAGGGCAUCUGCAUCAUGCUUUCUUCACCAUGCCCCUCUCUGUACCUACCUCAUAACUGGGUACAGCAGACUUGGCUGUUCUAUAGGCAAGGUUAAGCACAUCUUGGAGACGGGCAGUUUCUGUAUUCCAACAUCUGAAGGAGCAGAGUCAGGAGAGCAUUAGCACAGUUGUCAGUUACCAGGAUCUCCUUCUGAAUCUUUGCCUCUCUCUGACAGCUCCUCAAGGUACUUCUGGCCCCUCACCAUACCAAGGAUUACUCGAGAAGGAACAUGAUUAGUGCAAUGUGUGCAAUGGAUGAGUUCCCCUGCGCAAGUUCCUGCCUAUGAUCUGCAUGGAAGGAAGGGCCUCUCUCCUCCCUCCUCCUAAUACAAGAAUUUCUGGAUCUAUUCAGAAAUAGCUGAAUACUAUGGGUGUUUCAACAACCCUUUGUUGUAGUCCUCAAACACAGAAUGAAUGUCUGAUUCUCAUGUACAUGGUCCCCAGUGGGCUCUAAUGAAGACUGCUUCUUAACCAAGAAAUUAUCUUUGAUCCGGACUCAUAUACACUGUUCACAUUUGCAUAUGUCAUGGGCCACCAGCUAUAGUCACCUGUAAUUCUUCUCAAUUGAAUUAAUUGAAGGAAACAAAAAUUGGCACCCAGGCCUGAAUUAACCAAGAAAAUGUGGAUAUAAACAGGCAACAGUGUUUUCCUUUGUUUUGUUUUGUUUCCAUCAACCAAGCCAGGACCCACCCUGAGCGUCUGACAGCAAGCAUGUGCAAGCUCUCAGGACUGACUGUGAAACCAAGACAAGAGGCCAGCAAAUACUUAUCUCUAAUGGGCUUUGCAAGGCUUAAUUAACUCCUACACAGAGUUCUUUGUGAUGCACUCAGAUUGCCUAUAUUCUCAAAGGUCAAAGAUUAUGAAGACGGAAAGGAGUAAUGACUUACUAAACGCUCCUCCACUGGCUCAGAAGGACACUUCCAACCCUUUCAAUCUUAGUUAUUGUUUUAUUCCUAAUAUUCUAGAAUUGACUGAUUAUCAUUAGACUGUUUAAUUGAAAACAUAUCUUGCAAGAGGCCAUGUGUUUUUUGUUUGUUUGUUUGUUUUGAAGGUAGGCAUGGAUCUGUCUGGAGGGCAAUGAGAGGUACUGAGAGAUUCCUCUUCUUCUCUUCCAUGUUGUUUCCACAGAUAGGAACUCAGAACCCCGGUUAACAGAGGUAACCUCUGAGCUUUGAUUUCUGAGUUUGCUCUCAUUGUACAAGUGAAUUCUCCAUGUCACAGAAGAACCUGUGUUAUUUCGGUAUUUUGAAAGUUUCCACUGACAUCACUGAGUUUCUAAAAUACGUUGAAGGAACAUUCUGAAAAGGGUUUAAAUCUAUUGUUUAAUUGAGAUUGUUUUCAGUAGUCAUGCAUUUUAGUGACGACAGUACAUUUUCUUCAAGAAAAUAAAUACCUACUCCUGCCAAGUUCUGGACAAAGAAUGGUAAGGAAGACGCACUCUUCCCUAAAGGCCUGCUGGUUCCCUAGGCGACUGGGUCCAGAUACAGGGGAGUGUGAUAGGUGAUAUGUGAAUACAAAGAGUCCUACCAAACUCAUUGAAUGCACUAGUCAAGAAGUGCUGGUGAGAAAAGGACAUGCUACUCAGGAUAAUGAACCUUCUAGCUGAAAACCUAGGGGAAAAAAAGAAGCCAACCUGAUAAGGAAGGACUGAAACCAUUGUAGUCAGAAGUAAGUUUUGCAAAAGCCUCCUAGUGAGAGCGAGCACAGGACAACUCCUCUCCCUAGAAAGCCACUUACACCAGCCUGCAGAGAGCCUGUGGCAAGAAGAAAAAGAGCUAGAGAAACAAAUAGGGACCAUUCACAAGGGGACUUUAUCUUGAGGCUCCUCGGGGCCAUUUAAAUAGUUUAAAGUUUAAAAGUAACCAUUUAAAAUAAAAUUGCACUUUAGAAGACCAAUGAUGGCUUUGAAGGGAAUGGUUGUGGGUCGAAAAGCCAGAGGCAUAGAGGCCAGUUAGGACGUGAUAAAGGACUUCUGAAGGAAAAUUAGACUGUGGCCUGAGAAAGUGUAAAGCAGAGGGAGGGCCCAGGAGAUGAAGCUGUUUUAAAGGACAAUUAGGAUACAGAAUUAGGGGAUGUUCUUCUAGACUAGGCAGAAAGGCAAGUGGAAAGGGCAAAGCUCAAUCUAAGUUUCCAGCUUCAGGCUUCUGCUGUGUGGUGGUGCCAAUCACUGCGGCUGGGCAUAUGGGAACUUGAGGGAACUGCUGGGGACCUGGGUGGUGCUGGUGGUGUUUGGGAGGUGAUGAGAGAAAAGUAAAUAUUUUCGUUUCUGUUGAAUAUUUUUUUUAAAAAAAUAUUGAUCUAAAUUGUGAAUUUCACCAACUUCGCCCUUCUCACAUAUUAGCCUCUGGACCCCAGUGCCCUAACUCAGCACUAACUCUUUUAUCAGGUCUUAGUUGAUCAGUAGAGUUACUCAAUUAGAUCCUGUUAUUUAUCACUUAUCUUAAAAUAUAAUUAAUGUACAGUGUAUGAUGUCCUUAAUAGAGAUUAUACAAUUAGUUUUAUCUUUUUAAAGGGGUAGAUUAUUUUCAAUAACCCCAAGGUAAAACUCACUUGAGUGUUUUGUUUUGUUUUUUAAUUAAAAAGUAUAUGUCGGAGUUCCCGUCGUGGUGCAGUGGUUAACGAAUCCAACUAGGAACCAUGAGGUUGCGGGUUCGGUCCCUGCCCUUGCUCAGUGGUUGACGAUCCGGCGUUGCCGUGAGCUGUGGUGUAGGUUGCAGACGCAGCUCGGAUCCCGCGUUGCUGUGGCUCUGGUGUAGGCUGGUGGCUACAGCUCCGAUUAGACCCCUAGCCUGGGAAUC